rnacentral:rRNA from 1 species
GGGGAAUAUUGCACAAUGGGCGAAAGCCUGAUGCAGCGACGCCGCGUGGAGGAUGAAGGCCUUCGGGUCGUAAACUCCUGUCUGGGGGGAUGAACACUGACAGUACCCCCGGAGGAAGCCCCGGCUAACUACGUGCCAGCAGCCGCGGUAAUACGUAGGGGGUGAGCGUUGUCCGGAAUUACUGGGCGUAAAGCGCGCGCAGGCGGCUUGUUAAGUCAGGUGUCAAAAUGCGGGGCUCAACCCCGUAUCGCACUUGAAACGGGCAGGCUUGAGUGCAGGAGAGGGAAGUGGAAUUCCUAGUGUAGCGGUGAAAUGCGUAGAUAUUAGGAGGAACACCAGUGGCGAAGGCGACUUCCUGGACUGUAACUGACGCUCAGGCGCGAAAGCUAGGGGAGCAAAC